GAAGGAAAUUAAGUACGGAAGUUCCUGAUUUCACGCUGUCAAGAAAAGCCUCUAGGAAGAGUAGUACUGCCCGUACCGCAAACCGACACAGGUAGAUGAGGAGAGAAUCCUAAGGUGAGCGAGAGAACUCUCGUUAAGGAACUCGGCAAAAUGACCCCGUAACUUCGGGAGAAGGGGUGCUCUAUUAGGGUGCAAGCCCGAGAGAGCCGCAGUGAAUAGGCCCAGGCGACUGUUUAGCAAAAACACAGGUCUCUGCAAAACCGUAAGGUGACGUAUAGGGGCUGACGCCUGCCCGGUGCUGGAAGGUUAAGAGGAGUGCUUAGCUUCGGCGAAGGUACGAAUUGAAGCCCCAGUAAACGGCGGCCGUAACUAUAACGGUCCUAAGGUAGCGAAAUUCCUUGUCGGGUAAGUUCCGACCCGCACGAAAGGCGCAACGAUCUGGGCACUGUCUCAACGAGAGACUCGGUGAAAUUAUAGUACCUGUGAAGAUGCAGGUUACCCGCGACAGGACGGAAAGACCCCGUGGAGCUUUACUGCAACCUGAUAUGGAAUGUUUGUACCGCUUGUACAGGAUAGGUAGGAGCCGAAGAGACGUGUGCGCUAGCAUACGAGGAGGCAAUGGUGGGAUACUACCCUGGCUGUAUGACCAUUCUAACCCGCCACGCUUAGCGCGUGGGGAGACAGUGUCAGGUGGGCAGUUUGACUGGGGCGGUCGCCUCCUAAAGAGUAACGGAGGCGCCCAAAGGUUCCCUC
rnacentral:rRNA from 1 species